rnacentral:lncRNA from 1 species
UAAGGUAUUUUUAAAUGGUUAUAAUCAUAUAUUUUACAUGUACUGUCAAAAAGCUUAAAUAAAAGCUGAAAUAAAUGCUAAUUGAAAGAAAAUGUAUAUGUGCAACAAAAAAGUCAGCGAGAGGUAGAGCAGCUGAGCAGCUCUGCGGUGUACUGACUUCAUGUCCCCAUGGAACUCCAGUCUCACAGCAAGGAUGAGGUGAGCCCAACAUAUCUGGAAUGUCACUGCCCUGGGUGGCCCCUCUGGCUCUACAGGGAUGCCAGCCCCUGCCAUGCCCCUCCCAGCCAUGACCCCCCAGUGCUCUAAGGACAAGGCCCUGUUCAGCCCUUGUGCAAGCUGGCUUCAGCCGUUUCAGGUGUGGUCUCUAGGCUGGGAGAUUUUGCGACCUGCCCUGGCCACUGCUGAUGCGUCCAGCCUCCUCUCCAAGGUGGAAGGCAGGGAGGACAGCAGGCUCUCUUAGACCCAUACACUCCACGUUAGGAAACACGGAGUUUGAAAAAUAAAAACACGU